CCCUUAGAUGUUCUGGGCCGCACGCGUGCUACACUGAGUAAUUCAAUGGGUAAGGGAACGCUAGAGCAUUACCUAAUCUUGAAAUUUGCUCGUGAUGGGGAUCGACGGUUGCAAUUUUCCGUCGUGAACGAGGAAUACCUUGUAGGCGCAUGUCAUCAUCAUGCGCCGAAUACGUCCCUGCCCUUUGUACACACCGCCCGUCGCUCCCACCGAUUGAGUGAUCCGGUGAGGCUCUGGGACCUGGACGGAAAGAGCGUUUCGCUUGUUCUGUUUGGGAAACUUGGUCGAACCUUAUCAUUUAGAGGAAGGAGAAGUCGUAACA
rnacentral:rRNA from 1 species